ACGAAGACCCUUCAGCGGCAACAGCAGCUUCCUUGGUAGUGUGUGCAGCCUGUUUCUUGUAUUGGCUGCUCUAAGGGACCUUGGAGAUAGGC
rnacentral:snoRNA from 1 species